AUGAUUUCUUUUGCCCACCAUUGCUGUCAUAUAAGCUGCUAUCUGCAGACUCCUUUUCUUCCUUGGGCACCUUGUGGAAGUAGGGAGACACAUUUACUGUAAGACCAGCUCCUUGACAUGACGUUUUUGUCUUCCUUAGCGACUUAUUCUGCCCAUCUUUGCUCUUAGUCAUGCUGCUAUCAGCAGCUUCUUCUUCCCUGGGUACCUUCUGGAAGCAGAGGGAGACAUUUCGAACAGCAAGACCAGCUCUUUGGCAUGGUUUAGGAGCCUCUAUCUCAUCCAUCCCCAAUUGCUGCCCAGUGGCCGCACGAAAAUAAGGAGAAACCUUAAGAACUUCCUUUUGGUCUCUGCUAUGUGGUUUUUCAUUCCCAUUUUCUAAACCUGUUCUUCCAAGUUUCCUGGAAUUAUGAAGGCAAAGAGGUAUCCUCAUUCUCAGCUUGUGCAUGGAUAUCUGAACCCACCUCCUCUUCGCCACCAGUAACACCCACCAACGGAUGAAUAUCCGCCAGUUCUUCCUCGACUAUCGGGGGUAAUUCCGAAUCUUAUUCUUGAAGCACCAGUCGGCGAAUCGUUCGAGCAGGAGAGGACAGAGGAAUCUAAGAAAUCAUCAUUAACG
rnacentral:misc_RNA from 1 species